GAUGAACGCUGGCGGCGUGCCUAAUACAUGCAAGUCGAGCGAACAGAUGAGGCGCUUGCUUCUCUGACGUUAGCGGCGGACGGGUGAGUAACACGUGGAUAACCUACCUAUAAGACUGGGAUAACUUCGGGAACCCGGAGCUAACACCGGACAAUAUAUUGAACGGCAUGGUUCAACAGUGAAAGACGGUUUUGCUGUCACUUAUAGAUGGAUCCGCGCCGCAUUAGCUAGUUGGUAAGGUAACGGCUUACCAAGGCAACGAUGCGUAGCCGACCUGAGAGGGUGAUCGGCCACACUGGAACUGAGACACGGUCCAGACUCCUACGGGAGGCAGCAGUGGGGAAUCUUCCGCAAUGGGCGAAAGCCUGACGCAGCAACGCCGCGUGAGUGAUGAAGGUCUUCGGAUCGUAAAGCUCUUUUAGUAGGGAGGAACGAAAGUGUAUGUAACUAUGCACGUUUUGACGGUACCUAGACAGAAAGCCACGGCUAACUACGUG
rnacentral:rRNA from 1 species